AGUAACACAUGACAUCUUUCUCCCUCGAAUUAAAAUGUGACUUGGUUCACCGGUUAAAACGCAGAGGGAGAUGGAAAUGACCAGGAGUCGAAAGGAGAAGAUAAGAGUGCAGUGGUGCAGUCAUGGCUCACUGCAGCGUCUGCCUCCUGGACUCAAAGAAUCCUCCUACCUCAGCCUCCCAAGUAGCUAGGACCACAGAGUUGUGCUCUCCUGCAGCGUUUUGCGGACGGCUGGCUAUCUUACCCAGAAUCAAUCACACUGGGACACUGAAAAAAAAAAAAAAGGAAAAAAGAGCGAGGGAGUAAUUCUAGCCUGUUUUUACAAGAACACAGUGGCUAUAGACAGUGCCAGUGUGAAGAUGACUCAGCAAACGUGGAGAACCAAAGAUUCUAGGGCAGCACCAAAACUGGGAAAGCAAUUACAGCAGAAGUUGCCUUCCCCAUGGUAGCUUAGCAACUUCGUGUCUCUCCAAGGCAGAGAGGAAAAUCAAGUCUAACAGGCCUUCCCGAAGGCUAGGUGUGAAAUACCAGAAGCCAUCUUUGUUUCUGGCGAUGUCACUAAAUAAGUAUUUGUUGAUAUAAAGUAUUACA